UACGUAGGGGGCAAGCGUUGUUCGGAAUCACUGGGCGUAAAGGGCGCGUAGGCGGCCUUGCAAGUCGGUUGGUGAAAGCCCGGGGCUCAACCCCGGAGGUGCGGCCGAGACUGCAGGGCUGGAGGCCGGAAGAGGAGGGUGGAAUACCCAGUGUAGAGGUGAAAUUCGUAGAUAUUGGGUGGAACACCGGUGGCGAAAGCGGCUCUCUGGUCCGGACCUGACGCUGAGGCGCGAAAGCGUGGGGAGCAAACAGG
rnacentral:rRNA from 1 species